GGAUCGAAAGAUGAAAAGACUUUGAAAGGAGGGUUAAAUAGACGUGAAAUUGUUGAAAGGGAAGCGUUUGCGACCAGACCUUUUCUAGGGGGAUCAACCGGUGUUCUCACCGGUGCACUUCCCCUAGUUUAGGCCAGCAUCGGUUUCUUUAGGGGGGAUAAAGGCUUGGGGCACGUAGCUCUUCCGGGAGUGUUAUAGCCCCCUGCGUAAUACCCCUCGGGGGACCGAGGACCGCGCUUCGGCAAGGAUGCUGGGUAAUGGUCGUCAACGACCCGUCUUG
rnacentral:rRNA from 1 species